UCUAGCCUGCCAGUGACUAAGUUCAACGGCCGCGGUAUCCUAACCGUGCGAAGGUAGCGUAAUCACUUGUUCUUUAAAUGAGGACUAGUAUGAAUGGCACCACGAGGGUUAUACUGUCUCCUUUUUCUAAUCAAUGAAACUGAUCUCCCCGUGAAGAAGCGGGGAUAAACCUAUAAGACGAGAAGACCCUAUGGAGCUUUAAACAAAAAUAGCAUCGGCCCUUACUUACACUCUCGAGAGACAUAACCACUAUACUGGCCAAUAUGACUAUUAGUUUUAGGUUGGGGUGACCGCGGAGCAAAAACUAACCUCCACAUUGAACGGAACUUUUCCUGAGCUAAAAGCUACAACUUUAAGCACCAACAAAUUGACAUCAAUUGACCCAACAUGUUGAUCAACGAACCAAGUUACCCUAGGGAUAACAGCGCAAUCCAUUUCGAGAGCCCCUAUCGACAAAUGGGUUUACGACCUCGAUGUUGGAUCAGGGUAUCCCAGUGGUGCAGCCGCUACUAAAGGUUCGUUUGUUCAACGAUUAAAACCCUACGUGAUCUGA
rnacentral:rRNA from 1 species